rnacentral:rRNA from 1 species
GUGAGGAAUAUUGGUCAAUGGACGAGAGUCUGAACCAGCCAAGUAGCGUGAAGGAUGACUGCCCUAUGGGUUGUAAACUUCUUUUAUACGGGAAUAAAGUGAGGCACGUGUGCCUUUUUGUAUGUACCGUAUGAAUAAGGAUCGGCUAACUCCGUGCCAGCAGCCGCGGUAAUACGGAGGAUCCGAGCGUUAUCCGGAUUUAUUGGGUUUAAAGGGAGCGUAGGCGGACGCUUAAGUCAGUUGUGAAAGUUUGCGGCUCAACCGUAAAAUUGCAGUUGAUACUGGGUGUCUUGAGUACAGUAGAGGCAGGCGGAAUUCGUGGUGUAGCGGUGAAAUGCUUAGAUAUCACGAAGAACUCCGAUUGCGAAGGCAGCUUGCUGGACUGUAACUGACGCUGAUGCUCGAAAGUGUGGGUAUCAAACAGG